rnacentral:rRNA from 1 species
UCUACGGGGGGCAGCAGUGAGGAAUAUUGGUCAAUGGGCGCGAGCCUGAACCAGCCAAGUAGCGUGAAGGAUGACUGCCCUACGGGUUGUAAACUUCUUUUAUAAAGGAAUAAAGUGAGGCACGUGUGCCUUUUUGCACGUAUUUUAUGAAUAAGGCUCGGCUAACUCCGUGCCAGCAGCCGCGGUAAUACGGAGGCUCCGAGCGUUAUCCGGAUUUAUUGGGUGUAAAGGGAGCGUAGAUGGGUUGUUAAGUCAGUUGUGAAAGUUUGCGGCUCAACCGUAAAAUUGCAAUUGAUACUGGCAGUCUUGAGUACAGUUGGGGUAGGCGGAAUUCGUGGUGUAGCGGUGAAAUGCUUAGAUAUCACGAAGAACUCCGAUUGCGAAGGCAGCUUACUAAACUGCCACUGACAUUGAUGCUCGAAAGUGUGGGUAGCAAACAGGAUUAGAUACCCUGGUAGUC